GAUGAACGCUGGCGGCGUGCCUAAUACAUGCAAGUCGAGCGAACAGACGAGGAGCUUGCUCCUCUGACGUUAGCGGCGGACGGGUGAGUAACACGUGGAUAACCUACCUAUAAGACUGGGAUAACUUCGGGAAACCGGAGCUAAUACCGUAUAAUAUAUUGAACCGCAUGGUUCAAUAGUGAAAUACGGUUUUGCUGUCACUUAUAGAUGGAUCCGCGCCGCAUUAGCUAGUUGGUAAGGUAACGGCUUACCAAGGCAACGAUGCGUAGCCGACCUGAGAGGGUGAUCGGCCACACUGGAACUGAGACACGGUCCAGACUCCUACGGGAGGCAGCAGUAGGGAAUCUUCCGCAAUGGGCGAAAGCCUGACGGAGCAACGCCGCGUGAGUGAUGAAGGUCUUCGGAUCGUAAAACUCUGUUAUUAGGGAAGAACAAAUGUGUAAGUAACUAUGCACGUCUUGACGGUACCUAAUCAGAAAGCCACGGCUAACUACGUG
rnacentral:rRNA from 1 species